GGUCCAUUAGCUCAGUUGGUUAGAGCGUCGUGCUAAUAACGCAAAGGUCGUGGGUUCGAUCCCUCCAUGGGCCA